rnacentral:rRNA from 1 species
GAUGAACGCUGGCGGCGUGCCUAAUACAUGCAAGUCGAGCGAACAGACGAGGAGCUUGCUCCUCUGACGUUAGCGGCGGACGGGUGAGUAACACGUGGAUAACCUACCUAUAAGACUGGGAUAACUUCGGGAAACCGGAGCUAAUACCGGAUAAUAUAUUAAACCGCAUGGUUCAAUAUUGAAAGACGGUUUUGCUGUCACUUAUAGAUGGAUCCGCGCCGCAUUAGCUAGUUGGUAAGGUAACGGCUUACCAAGGCAACGAUGCGUAGCCGACCUGAGAGGGUGAUCGGCCACACUGGAACUGAGACACGGUCCAGACUCCUACGGGAGGCAGCAGUAGGGAAUCUUCCGCAAUGGGCGAAAGCCUGACGGAGCAACGCCGCGUGAGUGAUGAAGGUCUUCGGAUCGUAAAACUCUGUUAUUAGGGAAGAACAAAUGUGUAAGUAACUAUGCACGUCUUGACGGUACCUAAUCAGAAAGCCACGGCUAACUACGUG